rnacentral:rRNA from 1 species
CACGGUCCAGACUCCUACGGGAGGCAGCAGUGGGGAAUAUUGCACAAUGGGCGCAAGCCUGAUGCAGCCAUGCCGCGUGUAUGAAGAAGGCCUUCGGGUUGUAAAGUACUUUCAGCGAGGAGGAAGGCGUUGUGGUUAAUAACCGCAGCGAUUGACGUUACUCGCAGAAGAAGCACCGGCUAACUCCGUGCCAGCAGCCGCGGUAAUACGGAGGGUGCAAGCGUUAAUCGGAAUUACUGGGCGUAAAGCGCACGCAGGCGGUCUGUCAAGUCGGAUG